rnacentral:rRNA from 1 species
GACGGAGGAUGCAAGCGUUAUCCGGAAUUAUUGGGCGUAAAGCGUCCGCAGGUGGCUGUUCAAGUCUGCUGUCAAAGCGCAGAGCUUAACUCUGUACAGGCGGUGGAAACUGAAGAGCUAGAGUAUGGUAGGGGUAGAGGGAAUUCCCGAGUGUAGCGGUGAAAUGCGUAGAUAUCGGGAAGAACACCAGUGGCGAAAGGC